ACAUGAGGCCCAGUCAGCAGGUGACUGCUUCCUGCUUCUGCCACACAACCAAGCCCUGAUCUGGUGGUAUCCGGAAGUGGCCCAAUGGCAGUCAAAUCUGAGGCACUGGGCCAGGAAAGGAAUGAUGAAGGUGAAUGCUACCAAUGAAGCACCUAUCCACCUGUAUGGUAUGAAGGAAAAGCAUUCUGAGGUGAUAAAAAGGUGUUACAUUGUGACACAGAGAUUGGAAAGCUGCAGUUCAUACAUAAGAUGAAGCAUUCAAACAGAACUGAGAAGUAAGAUAUUGGUGGUCAAGAUUGUAUAAAGGAAAGUGUGAGUGGUGGCAUAGGGUUCCAGUGAAUUUUGGAAAUUUCAUGUGAGCUCAUGUAAGCAGACACUGGGAAGACAUUCUCUGAAACAGACUCUGAAUUUGAGGACAUCAGUUGGAGCCCCUCUCUUUUGCCCAGUGUGGCUCUGGGAUUUUACCUCUGUCGUGUCGUGCACAGUGAGAUAAGGACAGGAAGAGUCCCCUCAUCUGGCUUUCAGAACUGGACAAAGACAUCCC